AGCGAACGCUGGCGGCAGGCCUAACACAUGCAAGUCGAACGAACUCUUCGGAGUUAGUUGCGGACGGGUGAGUAACACGUGGGAACGUUCCUUUUGUUUCGGAAUAUCUUAGGGAAACUUGUGCUAAUACCGAAUGUGCCCCUCGGGGGAAAGAUUUAUCGCCUUUAGAUCGUCCUGCGUCUGAUUCCUUUGUUGGUGAGGUAAAGGCUCACCAAGGCGACGAUCAGUAGCUGGUCUGAGAGGAUGCUCAGCCACAUUGGGACUGAGACACGGCUGAAACUCGUACGGGAGGCAGCAGUGGGGAAUCUAGCGUAAUGCGCGAGAGUCUUACGCAGCCAUGCAGCGUGAAUGAUGAAAGUCUUAGGAUUGUAAAAUUAUUUCACCGGGGACGAUAAUGACGGUACCGGGAGAAGAAGCCCCGGCUAACUUCGUG
rnacentral:rRNA from 1 species